rnacentral:rRNA from 3 species
UCGCGACCCCAGGUCAGGCGGGA